GACUUGUGUGCGCCCGCAUUCUGCGGUCACUUCCCAAAAGGGUUGUCCGACAUGCGGUGCGGGCGCCGUCAAACCUUCAACUGGAUCGCGUCUGGGCUUCAUUGUCUGGGCGCUGUCAUUCGGUUGAUCAUUUACUGUGAGAAAAUUAGAGUGUUCAAGGCAGGCAUUAUUGCAAUUGAAUAUGUUAGCAUGGAAUAAUAAGAUAAGGCUUUCGGCUUAUUUUGUUGGUUUCUAGAUCGGAAGUAAUGAUUGAUAGGGAUAGUUGGGGGUGCUAGUAUUCAACGGCCAGAGGUGAAAUUCAUGGAUUCGUUGAAGACUAACUUAUGCGAAAGCAUU
rnacentral:rRNA from 1 species